GAUUGUACACAGUGUUGCCUACAGAAACAAGCCUGGAAUAACAGAUGUUUCCUUCUGUCUGUGACAUUGUAAAAAUAAGUUCCUGUCUCCCAAUUCCACCUCCCCAUGAAUCACCCAGGACCUUCCAGAUAACAGCUGAUUACCAUGGCAACACACCACUUCAAUCAAUAGCCCCCAGCUGCUAACUCCACCCUUGCCCUGGCCUUAAAAACAGCAUCUUUGGUGCUAAUAAACAGACUUGAUCAGAA